AUACUUACACUCGAGUUGAACGACGGACACCCACUCAUGUGUAUAAAAUUAAAAUUCCGUUUGUAUGCAUGUCUGUCCGUUAUACAAAUCUAAAAUUUUAUUUCGAUAAAAAUUUGCACACUCGACAUUCAAAACGAGAGGAGGAUCGAUGUAUACAUUUUAUCUCGAAAUUCGACCUCUACACUCUAGGGGUUGGUUGGUACGGUGUUUUUGGUAUUUUUUUUUUUCUGUUGAUUUAUGAGUUACCUUGGCGACACGAACGAAGAAACCAGUUAUAAUUAUUUAAUUUGUUUGUAACAGACGAGGAAGUGUCCUUUUUAAAUGAUAAACUACAAGGCAACAACGAUUAACUGUGAUCGGAGGCAAGAAUGAACUCGAGGAGACAUGUUAAAUUGUAUUUCAAUUAUUGAUUUCUGUUUUUAAAAGGAUCGAGCUAGAGAAAUACCGGGUAAUUCAGCUGGUUUAACAUUCUGAAUCAUACCUCGUUGUCGUAAAAUAUUGGACUGCUGGUGUUUUAUCGUCUUAUCUCGGGGCUGUACAGAUUAGGGUUCGUUCGUAGAUUUACCAUACGGACGGCCGAUAUCGGCCGUGACAAUUUGUCGAAAGCGUUUGCAGUUCUUUGUACUUUAGAAUAAUUUCUUUUCAGAAAUCUCACGAUGGCGGUGAACAUUACGUGUAUAACACAGUUUGUGUUUUUUUUUUUUCUACAAUAUAGCAGAUAGUCGUAAUACUGACGAAUUGUAAGACGAAAAUUGGGCGAGUGAUCCAUCUCGAACGGAUCGCGUCCCAGUGGAUGU